CUUUGGUCCCCAUCUGCCCUGAUCGUGUUCACCUGUGUCUUGUCUGCCCUGUCUGUAUAUAAGUCUUGUCUCUGCCUUCCUCCUGUGUUGGUUCAUUACCCCAUUUAUGGUGUUCAUGCCUUGUCCCUCGCCAUGCCACAGUAAGUUUUAGUUUUGUUUUGUCAUCCUGCUCUGCAGCGCUUUUUGUUUCUAUUAAACCCCUUGCCCCGGAACUGUGUGCCUCCUGCAUCUGCAUCUGGGUCUUACCGGCUCUCGAGCCCUCCCCACAUGACACAUAAGACUUUCUUCAUCCCACGAUGAGGAAAUUCUUUUGUCUGCAGAAGUAAAGUGACAUUCAACAGUGCAACAGUAUUAAAGAACAGAAGAACAUCUUUAAAUUACUCCACAAUGAAGUUACAUUGAAAUGAAACUAUGAAAGUACACAACAAACAAUGAUGCCCGUUAAAAGAACCAAAACGACAGAAACAACAACAGCAACAACAAAUGAAAUUCACCAUGUAGGUGUAACCAUAGUGUGUAACUGUAGUACUGUUUUGUAUGGUCUGAUGGCUGUGGGGAGGAAUGACCUGCUGCACUUGCACUUCCAGAAACGGUUGCAGAGGGCUCCACAAUUGAGCCCCCAGCACCGAACAAGUAUCAGAACAGGUUUUUCAACACUAAAAUGCAAUGAAAUAAUAAACCUACAAAAUCUUUGUCUUCAGCUCCUAUUGUUGUCAGAUCCUGUCUUUGACCUUUUCUGUAUAGAGAUUCAUGUUUUCGCCUGUGUUUUAGCAUUUUGUCUGGCUUUAGCUGCUUUCUCAUCAUUUGGUCCUAUGCUCCUGCCUCUCCUGAAGACCUUCACAGUCCCAAUCCUGGACUCAUUGCAGUUUGCCAACUUAAUCAACAGAUCCAUGGGCGAUGCAGUGAAUCUGUCACUACUCUUAAUGCUGCAGCAUCUGGACUCCCCAGGAUCCUACGUCGUUUAGGACAAGCUACAUCAACCUCACAUUCCUGACUCAUGUCUUUAUGACAAACUGCAGGCAGUAAGUGCAACUGGGAAAGACCAUCUCAGAGACAGUGACCAUCAACACCAGAUCCCCCAAAUGUUGUGUACUUUCCCCUCUGCUCAUCUCCAUGUGCUGUAGUUGUAGAGAGACUUUAUUGCCAUUAUGUUUUUGCUUGCACAAUGCAGCCACAAGUGGGCGCAAUGCAUUGCUUUUCUAUGUUGGUUUUCUGCGACUCCUUUCCUUGAAAUUCUCUUACCACCAUUCUCCGUGUCAAUGUGUACCUUGACAUGGUCAUUAAAGAAAUACUAGAUGUGAUGAGUUACUAAACCUUUCAUUGAUAUUUUAUUGUAAUAACAUUCUUUUUCUCUGAGCACCACAUGUGCUUUGUUUUGUUGUCCACAGAGAGAGAUUGAUCAAACUUUUGUUUCAUAUGUCGGGAUUUACUUGACAUGGGACAAUGAACAUAUUAAAUGGGAACCCAAAGACUUUUGUGGAAUUUCAAAUAUUGCAGUUCCAAAUGAAGCUUUAUAGAAACCUGAUCUGACAGUUGAAGAGAUGCUUGCGCUGAAAUUCCUGCAAGUGCCCCCGCGCAUGUAUUGCUGCAUCUCUCUGGCGACGCUGUGGGACGCGUUGCCAUGGUGAUGUCUGCUGGAGUUGAAAUGGAGGAUUUUCUUCUGCGGUGUGGUCCACCUCUGGUUGGUCCAGCCGCCCUCUCUGGCGCAGAUCAUUCUCAACCUCCUCUGCGCUGUUAUCUUUCUGCGCCCAGUUCUCCUGAUUUUCUCCUUUUUUUUCAGUGCAGGUUUAACUUCUCUGUACUCCUUGCAUUUCUGGACCACCUCUGAUGUAUAGUCCUGGUCGAACAAUUAGAACUUGUCUCCCAGCUGGAUUUCUUCUUCCAUGCGUUCUCAGGAAACGUUUUUUUCACCUUGUACUGCAGGAAACCGAUGAUCAUGGAUCUUGGUGGCCCUCCGGGGCCUGGCUUAGGGGCAAGAGAGCGAUGAGCUCGCUAGAUUUGCAAAUCCGUUCCCUCCUGAAUCAGUCCUUCACUUAUUAUCAGCUUUUCCACAAACUGAAUU